GUAAUGGCUCACCAAGGCGACGACGGGUAGCCGGCCUGAGAGGGUGACCGGCCACACUGGGACUGAGACACGGCCCAGACUCCUACGGGAGGCAGCAGUGGGGAAUAUUGCACAAUGGGCGCAAGCCUGAUGCAGCGACGCCGCGUGAGGGAUGACGGCCUUCGGGUUGUAAACCUCUUUCAGUAGGGAAGAAGCGAAAGUGACGGUACCUGCAGAAGAAGCGCCGGCUAACUACGUGCCAGCAGCCGCGGUAAUACGUAGGGCGCAAGCGUUAUCCGGAAUUAUUGGGCGUAAAGAGCUCGUAGGCGGUUUGUCGCGUCUGCCGUGAAAGUCCGGGGCUCAACUCCGGAUCUGCGGUGGGUACGGGCAGACUAGAGUGAUGUAGGGGAGACUGGAAUUCCUGGUGUAGCGGUGAAAUGCGCAGAUAUCAGGAGGAACACCGAUGGCGAAGGCAGGUCUCUGGGCAUUAACUGACGCUGAGGAGCGAAAGCAUGGGGAGCGAACAGGAUUAGAUACCCUGGUAGUCCAUGCCGUAAACGUUGGGCACUAGGUGUGGGGGACAUUCCACGUUUUCCGCGCCGUAGCUAACGCAUUAAGUGCCCCGCCUGGGGAGUACGGCCGCAAGGCUAAAACUCAAAGGAAUUGACGGGGGCCCGCACAAGCGGCGGAGCAUGCGGAUUAAUUCGAUGCAACGCGAAGAACCUUACCAAGGCUUGACAUGAACCGGACCGCUGCAGAAAUGUGGUUUCCCCUUUGGGGCUGGUUUACAGGGGGGUGCAUGGUUGUCGUCAGCUCGUGUCGUGAGAUGUUGGGUUAAGUCCCGCAACGAGCGCAACCCUCGUUCUAUGUUGCCAGCACGUGAUGGUGGGGAACUCAUAGGAGACUGCCGGGGUCAACUCGGAAGAAGGUGGGGACGACGUCAAAUCAUCAUGCCCCGUAGGUCUUGGGCUUCACGCAUGCUACAAUGGCCGGUACAAAGGGUUGCGAUACUGUGAGGUGGAGCUAAUCCCAAAAAGCCGGUCUCAGUUCGGAUUGGGGUCUGCAACUCGACCCCA
rnacentral:rRNA from 1 species